rnacentral:rRNA from 1 species
UGGGGAAUAUUGCACAAUGGGGGGAACCCUGAUGCAGCGACGCCGCGUGAGUGAGGAAGUAUUUCGGUAUGUAAAGCUCUAUCAGCAGGGAAGAAAGAAAUGACGGUACCUGACUAAGAAGCCCCGGCUAACUACGUGCCAGCAGCCGCGGUAAUACGUAGGGGGCAAGCGUUAUCCGGAUUUACUGGGUGUAAAGGGAGCGUAGACGGCUGUGCAAGUCUGAUGUGAAAGGCCGGGGCUCAACCCCGGGACUGCAUUGGAAACUGUGCAGCUAGAGUGUCGGAGAGGUAAGUGGAAUUCCUAGUGUAGCGGUGAAAUGCGUAGAUAUUAGGAGGAACACCAGUGGCGAAGGCGGCUUACUGGACGAUGACUGACGUUGAGGCUCGAAAGCGUGGGGAGCAAACAGGAUUAGAUACCC